ACUUUGCUGUACAGCAGAAAUUGGCACAACAUUGUAAAUCAACUCUAAUUUUAAAAAAGGAAAUGAAAUGUCUAUUUAAAUUGUCCAUUUUUUAAUUGUGUUCUCUUUUUGUUGCUGUUGAGCUUCAUGAGUUGUCUAUGUAUUUUGGAGAUUAAUGUCUGGUUGGUUAUUUCAUUUGCAAAUAUUUUCUCCCACUCUGUGAGCUGUCUUUUCAUUUGUUUAUGGUUUCUUUUGCUGUGGAAAAACUUUUAACUUUAUGUCCCAUUUAUUUUUGUUUUUAUUUUCAUUACACUAGAAAGUAAAUCCAAAAAGUUAUCACUGCAAUUUAUGUCAAAGAGUGUUCUGCCUGUGUUUUCCUCUAAGAGUUUUACAGUAUACAGUUUUAUAUGUAGGUCUUUAAUUCAUUUAGAGUUUACUUUUGUGUUUGAGAAUGUGUUAGAGAAUAUUCCUAUUUCAUUCUUUGUUACUGUCCAGUAUUCCCAGCACCAUUUAUUGAAGAGACUGUCUUUGUAUAUUCUUUGCUCCUUUGUCAAAGAUUAACUGACCAUAGGUACAUGGGUUUAUUUCUAGGCUUUCUAUCCUGUUCCAUUGGCCUAUAUUUCUGUAUUUGUGCCAGUGCUAUUCUAUUUUGAUUACUAUAGCUUUGUAGUAUAUUCUGAAGUCAGGGAGCCUGGUUCCCUCAGCUCUGUUUUUCUUUCUCAGAAUUCCUUUAGCUGUUUGGGGUCUUUUGUGAUUCCAAAUGAAUUUUAAAGUUUAUUGUUCUAAUUCUGUGAAAAAUGCCAUUGAUAAUUUCAUAGGGAUUUCCUUGGGCAGUAUAGCGAUUUUGAGAAUAUUGAUUCUUCCAAUCCAAGAGCAUAGUAUAUCUUUCGAUCUGUUUGUGUCAUCUUUGAUUUCUUUCAUCAGCAUCUUAUAGUUUCCAGACUAGAGUUCUUUUGCCUCCUUAGGUAGGUUUAUCCCUAGAUAUUUUAUUUUUAAUAAUUAAUAAUGCUAUGAUGAAUAUCCUUCAAGUUCAGAAUUCCUUGAAUAUAAAAACCUAUACCUCACUAAACUCCAAUAAAAUUUAGGCAAUUAUAUGUUCGAAUAUCGUCCCAUCCUCUCCUCUCCUCUCUUUCUGUGACCCAAAUUUGUGUAUGUUAAUCUACUCAAUAUUGUCCAACAGAUCUCUGAAGCUUUAUUUUCUUUCACUCUUUUUUCUUAUUCUUCUUCAGAUAAUAUACAUUCUAUUGAUCUUUCUUUACGUUCUCUGCUCUUUUCAUCUGUCAUCUCAAUUCUGCUAUUAAAACCAUCCAGUGAUUUUAAAACUUUAAAUACCGUGUCAUUCCACUGUAUGUCCAUCAAUAUUUUUCUUUAUAUAACUAUACCCAGAGCAGCUCCUUUUAAAACCUUGCCUAUUAAUCCCAGCCUUUGGAUCAUAUCUGUUACAUUAUCUUUUCCCUUAAAAAUGGCCACAUUGGAGUUCCCGCUGUGGUACAGUGGGUUUGGUGGUGUCUCUGCAGCACCAGGACACAGGUUCAAUUCCUGGCCUGGCACCAGCUGCAGUGUAGGUCACAACUGUGACUUGUUUCUGAUCCCUGGCCUGGGAACCCCAUAUGCCACAGGGCAG
rnacentral:lncRNA from 1 species